UACGUACCGUCCAAACGUUAUUCGGAAUUACUGGGCGUAAAGAGCUCGUAGGCGGCUUGUCGCGUCGACUGUGAAAACCCGUGGCUCAACCAUGUGGUCUGCAGUCGAUACGGGCAGGCUAGAAUUCGGUAGGGGAGACUGGAAUUCCUGGUGUAGCGGUGAAAUGCGCAGAUAUCAGGAGGAACACCGGUGGCGAAGGCGGGUCUCUGGGCCGAUAUUGACGCUGAGGAGCGAAAGCGUGGGGAGCGAACAGG
rnacentral:rRNA from 1 species